GUAAAAUUGCCCAAAACCAGGCUAAAUACAGUGGUUCUGUAUAGUGAUUGAUACUUCUGUAAUUGUAUGGUAAAGCACUUUAACUCCCAGGACAGAGGAGGGUGAUGGAGUGAUAAUUAAUGUAUUUCACUCUGAAGUAUAGGAUUUUGAGAACAAACAGAAUAUAAUUGCUGAGAUCCUGGGUUUGGUUAAAAGUUCUCCUUGUUCAGCAUCCUGCUUGUGACAGCAACCUGUGAAGCAAAAUCUACACACUUAAGGGAAAAAUUGUCUAUGGAAACUAGUUUUCUCUGCAGUUUACAGUCUGGAAAAGCCUGAUCCUGACUGCUGAAGUGACCCUGAAUAGAGAACAGGAUAUUGGACAGUGCUUCCUGGGUCAGACUGUUUGGAGAGGUUGUCUGUGAUGAGUGAUUUCCAGAAACACUGACGUGAUGGAGUCGUGGAACAAUCCAUGAAGGUUAACUGUCCAGAGGUUUUCAGAAAAGCUCUUAAUAUACUACUUCAUGUUAGAAGUUGUCAGCAUCAUUGGCAAGCACUAGAGAUGAACAUGAAGGAGUUGUACUUUUCUGGAUGAGAUUAAUUCUGGCACAGUACUCGUUCCCAUGGCUAAGCCCUGUGUGCACUGCUGUUCUUGUCAGGUUUUGGAAUUAUGGAGCUGGAUGGAAUCAGUGGAACCCCCUGAAAUGAAUAACAGGUGAGAAGCGAGCGCAGCAUGGGACACUACACAGAGGAUGGAAGUCAAAGACUGCUUUAAA